CUCAACUUGUUAAGCUUUUUUCCUAAAUAAACACGAAAGAAAUGGGUCAUUGGAAUAUCACAUUCCUUGAAUCCUUGAUGAUUUCUCUCGAGGCACACGUCUUUCGUUAACUUUUCAUUCACUCUUUUCGUUUCUAAAAUACCUAAUUACUUGGACGAAAAGAGGGGUCAUUGGAGUCUAGCAUUCUGGUGAAACCUUUGAACAAUAUUUUGAAUGUUCAUUGUCCAUUAAAUAAUUUUACGAAUACAUUGAAUGAAAAA
rnacentral:lncRNA from 1 species